rnacentral:rRNA from 1 species
AUACAUGCAGUCGAGCGGAUUGANNGGGAGCUUGCUCCCUGAUAUUAGCGGCGGACGGGUGAGUAACACGUGGGCAACCUGCCCUGCAGAUGGGGAUAACUCCGGGAAACCGGGGCUAAUACCGAAUAAUCGGUUCUUCCGCAUGGAAGAACUCUGAAAGACGGUUUCGGCUGUCACUGCAGGAUGGGCCCGCGGCGCAUUAGCUAGUUGGUGGGGUAACGGCCUACCAAGGCGACGAUGCGUAGCCGACCUGAGAGGGUGAUCGGCCACACUGGGACUGAGACACGGCCCAGACUCCUACGGGAGGCAGCAGUAGGGAAUCUUCCACAAUGGACGAAAGUCUGAUGGAGCAACGCCGCGUGAGCGAAGAAGGUUUUCGGAUCGUAAAGCUCUGUUGCGAGGGAAGAACAAGUACGGGAGUAACUGCCCGUACCUUGACGGUACCUCGUCAGAAAGCCACGGCUAACUACGUGCCAGCAGCCGCGGUAAUACGUAGGUGGCAAGCGUUGUCCGGAAUUAUUGGGCGUAAAGCGCGCGCAGGCGGUCCUUUAAGUCUGAUGUGAAAGCCCACGGCUCAACCGUGGAGGGUCAUUGGAAACUGGAGGACUUGAGUACAGAAGAGGAAAGCGGAAUUCCACGUGUAGCGGUGAAAUGCGUAGAGAUGUGGAGGAACACCAGUGGCGAAGGCGGCUUUCUGGUCUGUAACUGACGCUGAGGCGCGAAAGCGUG